UAGUGAUGAUGAAAAUUUUUUUCUCCAUUCGCGGUUUCCACCAGAGAUUUUUCGAUGAUGGACCAAUCCUUCCUUGGAUGUCUGAACUA